GUGGACCUUCUCCAGUGCUGCGACUCAGCUCGGAGAGCCCCAGGUAUUUCAACCCCAUUUUCCAGAGGAAACACGGUCGAUCUCCUCGUCUGUAAAUUACCUCUGGCAGGGCUUUAUAGGGAUGCCACUGCCACCAGCAUUUAAGGGUUUAAGACCCCCCCUAUAAACCUCAGCAAGGUUCUCCUCUCCUAUCAAUUCACCAGGGAUUUGUGCAGUUAAAUCUCACAGCGGGUAAUAAAUUUCCUGGCACAUCAUGGGAUGAAGGGACCCGACUGGCACUGAUACACUGAUCUUGGUGGGUUGAGUCCAACUUAUCUCCUUGACAAAUUUAUUGCCUUCAUCAUGUGCUCUGGAGAGAAAAAGCCAAAUCCUUGCCUUGUAAUGGACACUUUCCUAUUUUUUAACUGUACAUCUUGCGUUGAGAUAGGCCUUAACCAAGAAGAAUAGGCUGAAGAGAUAAAAACAAUUCAGGCAGUUCCAUGUGCUGCAAUGUGCAGAAAGCUGAAAGACUGCAUAACCAGGGUCAUGGGAUUACAAAAGAAGAGUUACAAGCUCUUCUCAGCUCCCUGACUUUACAAUAAAUCUAAUCAAGGGAGAUUUCUCAUUGGUCUUAAUGGCAACGAAAACAGUGCUAUACUCAAUAAUUUCAUACUCAAAUCACAUCUUAGGUCUAAGCUAGUAGAAAAUCUAAGGCUAAAUAACUUUUAUCAGAUGAUCUGUUGACAUGAUUUUCUUAUCAGUGCAGUGGCCUGUUUGGAACAAAAGAGCUGUUUCUGUUUCGAGCAUGUUUAGCAUCACUGGCAAACUUGUCAGUGUAGAAAUCAAUGUCUUCAGAGACAACUACGAGGCAUGAGGCAAAGUUGUAACCCGGAAGCCCCCUUUUUUCUGCUUGUUCUCUAUCGUGUUGUACAUCAGCUCUCUGUGCUUGCCUACAGUGGUCAGCGCCUCCGUCGAGAUAAUGGACUGGAUCAUCACCUGGACAGCAUUUCUCUUCAGUCAUAAAUCAUGAUGGGAAUACUGUAAACAAAAGCCAUGAAAUAUGAACCCACAUAAAUAAAGGAAGGGAAGGACUGAAUUGCCUGGGGAAA
rnacentral:lncRNA from 1 species